GAUGAACGCUGGCGGCGUGCCUAAUACAUGCCAGUCGAGCGAACGGACGAGAAUCUUGCUUCUCUGAUGUUAGCGGCGGACGGGUGAGUAACACGUGGAUAACCUACCUAUAAGACUGGGAUAACUUCGGGAAACCGUAGCUAAUACCGGAUAAUAUUUUGAACCGCAUGGUUCAAAAGUGAAAGACGGUCUUGCUGUCACUUAUAGAUGGAUCCGCGCUGCAUUAGCUAGUUGGUAAGGUAACGGCUUACCAAGGCAACGAUGCAUAGCCGACCUGAGAGGGUGAUCGGCCACACUGGAACUGAGACACGGUCCAGACUCCUACGGGAGGCAGCAGUAGGGAAUCUUCCGCAAUGGGCGAAAGCCUGACGGAGCAACGCCGCGUGAGUGAUGAAGGUCUUCGGAUCGUAAAACUCUGUUAUUAGGGAAGAACAUAUGUGUAAGUAACUGUGCACAUCUUGACGGUACCUAAUCAGAAAGCCACGGCUAACUACGUG
rnacentral:rRNA from 1 species